CUUUCUUCUUCCUUUUAACAACACAAUUCCAUUCCUCAACUUUUCAAUCUCAUCCCUCUCAAUUUCUCUCAAAACUCCAUUCCUCUCAACUUCUCAACAACACUUAAGAAGGCAGAAUCUUGGAAUAAAGCUCUGAUAUUUUGAAGGAAAUUUUCAAAGUCUACACCAAAGUUGUCUUCAAAUAAGUAUGGAACAUUACCAAUUUUAUCGUAGUUGGAUGUACGAUAGAAUGUUUCCUGGACGACGUGGGCUUAAACCACUUUUUAUGGAAGGAGUUGCCGCGUUUCUCUCGUAUGCGUUUGCUCAAGAAUGUUGUCGCAGGGAAGGAGGGGUAAGGUGUCCGUGUUUAAAGUGUGGUUGCAGAAAUAUUAUCAGUGACCCUAGUGAAGUGAAGCGUCACUUGGAGAGAGUGGGUUUUAGGCCAAAUUACUGGGUUUGGACAUCUAAUGGGGAAACAA